rnacentral:precursor_RNA from 1 species
AGUGAUAACUUUCAAAUUCAGAGAAACCCUGGAAUAAAAAAUGGGCAGCGNUUUUUACCAAUUGGGGUGNAUUCCCUUUUUUUUUUUUUGGUAAAGAAAGGGAAAUGGGUCCUUCUAUCGAAUAUCGAAACUCCAUAAAGGAUGAAGGCUAAGUCUAUAUACAUUAUGGAUAUUAAAUGAAAAACUAUCUCAAAAAUAACAACCCAAAUCCGUAUUUAUGUUAAUGAAAAAAAAGAAAAAGAAUUGUUGUGAAUCGAUUCAUCGAUUCCAAGUUGAAGAAAGAAUCGAAUAUUCAUUGAUCAAAUCAUUUACUCCAUAGUCUGGUAGAUCGUUUCUUUUGAAGAACUGAUUAAUCGGACGAGAAUAAAGAUAGAGUCCCGUUCUACAUGUCAAUAUCAAUACCGGCAAAAAUGAAAUUUAUAGUAAGAGGAAAAUCCGUCGACUUUAGAAAUCGUGAGGGUUCAAGUCCCUCUAUCCCCCCAAAAAGGGCCGAUUUGCUCCCUAACUAUUUCUCCCACCCUCUCUUUUUUUUAGUGGUUCAAAAUUCGUUAUGUUUCUCAUUCAUCCUCUUUUUUUACAAACGUAUCCGAUGCGAAUUUGCCUUUUUCUCUUAUCACAAUGACAAGUCNNUUUNGUAUAUAUGAUAUACNUAUAAAUGAACACCCGUGAGCNAAUAAUUCCGAGCUCNCNAUCCAUAUCAUUUCUCAUACUUUNACUUACNAAUUUUUNUUUGUUCAUGAUUCAANUCAUAAUAUUCCUCUUUNUUUGACAUAGNNUCCNUUNAUUUANACUAUCGNUGNUUNGUGGCCAUANNCNGG